rnacentral:rRNA from 1 species
UACGUAGGGGGCAAGCGUUGUCCGGAUUUAUUGGGCGUAAAGAGCGUGUAGGCGGCCAGGUAGGUCAGCUGUGAAAACUCGAGGCUCAACCUCGAGACGCCGGUUGAAACCAUCUGGCUAGAGUCCGGAAGAAGAGAGUGGAAUUCCUGGUGUAGCGGUGAAAUGCGCAGAUAUCAGGAAGAACACCCGUGGCUAAGGCGGCUCCCUAGUACGGUACUGACGCUGAGACGCGAAAGCGUGGGGAGCGAACAGG